rnacentral:rRNA from 1 species
GAUGAACGCUGGCGGCGUGCCUAAUACAUGCAAGUCGAGCGAAUGGAUUAAGAGCUUGCUCUUAUGAAGUUAGCGGCGGACGGGUGAGUAACACGUGGGUAACCUGCCCAUAAGACUGGGAUAACUCCGGGAAACCGGGGCUACUACCGGAUAACAUUUUGAACCGCAUGGUUCGAAAUUGAAAGGCGGCUUCGGCUGUCACCUAUGGAUGGACCCGCGUCGCAUUAGCUAGUUGGGGAGGUAACGGCUCACCAAGGCAACGAUGCGUAGCCGACCUGAGAAGGAGAUCGGCCACACGGGGACUGAGACACGGCCCAGACGCCUACGGGAGGCAGCAGUAGGGAAGCGUCCGCAAAGGACGAAAGUCUGACGGAGCCACGCCGCGUAAGUGAUGAAGGCUUUCGGGUCGUAAAACUCUGUUGUUAGGGAAGAACAAGUGCUAGUUGAAUAAGCUGGCACCUUGACGGUACCUAACCAGAAAGCCACGGCUAACUACGUGCCAGCAGCCGCAGUGA